rnacentral:rRNA from 1 species
UUGCCUACGGGGCGCAGCAGUGGGGAAUAUUGCACAAUGGGGGAAACCCUGAUGCAGCGACGCCGCGUGAGUGAAGAAGUAAUUCGUUAUGUAAAGCUCUAUCAGCAGGGAAGAAAGAAAUGACGGUACCUGAGUAAGAAGCCCCGGCUAACUACGUGCCAGCAGCCGCGGUAAUACGUAGGGGGCAAGCGUUAUCCGGAAUUACUGGGUGUAAAGGGAGCGUAGACGGUAAUGCAAGUCUGGAGUGAAAGGCGGGGGCCCAACCCCCGGACUGCUCUGGAAACUGUGUAACUGGAGUGCAGGCG